ensembl:lncRNA
GUUUAAUGUGGCAAAUUAUUGACACCAGCGGCCACUACAAAGCCGACUGUGAGGAACAGCCAGGCCAGUGGGUCAAAUACAGUGACCACUCUGUCUCAGUGAGAUCUGAGGAGGCCCUCCUCAAAGACAGGGAGAAGACGGCCUACAUACUUUUUUACAUCAAAAAGUGAGGCGGAUUACCCCCCUCCCCAACCCAUCUGCCUUGGUCUGCCCUCCCCCAUCAUCAUCAGGGGUAAAAGCUGUCAGCACCACUCCAGCAGGCUGGCAAGCAAUGGGUGACCCAUUCAUAAAGGUCAAGGUCAGAGCGUCCCUACCCAACGUGAAUGAUAUCUACCACAAGAGGGUGGAGUCGAGGGCAAGAAACAUCACCUGUUGCCGUCGGGUAGACGCCUACGCAGUCUAAACUCAAGGACUGAGAGACUUAGGAGGAGUUUUUACCCAUAGGCAGUGAGACACUUGAUCUCAAUUUUUUAAUUCAGCACCUUAUUUUUAUAUUUUAAUUUUUUAUUUAAUUUUUUGUACAGUGUGAAGCAUUGACCCUUUCACUUUCACUACAUUUGUUGUAUGUGACAAAUAAAACACUUGAAUCUUGAAUCAGAUACAUUUGUAUUACACCAACAUCAAUGUCUGCUGGAGAAUGCAUUCACUGUAUUGAGCACAUCAUUGGCAUCUUAAGCGACAGAUUUAUUAAGCUAGAUUUUAACGCAACAUGGAAAGUUUUACCAAAACAUCCCCACCUACAGCCUGAGGUUUUUUAUAUUCUUAGAUAAAUAGAAGGUGCUAAAGGGCAUCGCAGCAGGAUCAUCAUGAGUGCUCUUCACAUGAAAACAAAAUGACACAUUCCUCUGCACAUAGGGAUGGGAGACAUGGUCACAUCACAGUUUAUCUAGGAAAGGGAAUUGAUAUAAGUUUAUUUAACAAAAACCCAGACAAUUUUUUACAUUUCGUUUGAGAAGAUUAGUGGCCCAUGAAGUCAUACAUAGGGGUUUUGUACUACAGCCUGCCACCAAUAGGGGAUAA